GCUUGUCUCAAAGAUUAAGCCAUGCAUGUCUAAGUAUAAACUGCUUAUACUGUGAAACUGCGAAUGGCUCAUUAAAUCAGUUAUAGUUUAUUUGAUGGUACCUCUACUCGGAUAACCGUAGUAAUUCUAGAGCUAAUACGUGCGUAAAUCCCGACUUCUGGAAGGGACGUAUUUAUUAGAUAAAAGGCCAGCCGUCUCACGACGACCUGCGUUGACUCAUGAUAACUUCACGAAUCGCAUGGGCUUGCCCCGGCGAUGUUUCAUUCAAAUUUCUGCCCUAUCAACUUUCGAUGUUUGGGUAUUGGCCAAACAUGGUUGCAACGGGUAACGGAGGGUUAGGGCUCGACCCCGGAGAAGGAGCCUGAGAAACGGCUACUACAUCCAAGGAAGGCAGCAGG
rnacentral:rRNA from 1 species